UGGAUCUGGUUUAACAACUGGUUCACUAAGCGCGUGUGAGCAGUUUGGAGAAAACUCACCUUUCGCAUUACUGCCUGCAAGGAAAACAGCUGAGGCGUGGCAAUCCACUCUGCUGAGCCGAUCAGCAGGGCUUCAGAAAUGUAGUUUCAGGCCUGGAUUGCAGGAUGGCUGGCUCCCAGUUCGGUCUGGUUCUAUAGAACCGGUAGUAAAACCGGCGGGAAGCUCCGCCCACCCACCAUGACAUCAUCAUGGGUGAUAUGUGCAUGUGCAGAAGCGCGUUCGCAUGCGUGUUCCCGCUGUGAACUGGUAGUAAAGCUACAAUCUCUAGCAGAAGCCCUAGCAAUAGGCAUUUUUUCCUGGAGACUGGAAAUAAACAAUGGCUUUUGGAAAAAAAUGUCCUCAUCCAUGCUCGUGACUGCGGAAUGCUGCAAACUGCUGUAAAUGAAGUCUGGUUGCCAAGCACCCAAAAUAUGAUCACAUGACUGUGGGGGCCUCCAGCUGUUGGAACUUUGAAUCUGGAUUUACUGGACUCUUGUACUGGACUCUAUGGCUAUGCCCUUUUCAUGGAAAAGAGCCUUCUCUGCCAUGGCUCCUGCCCUUUGGAACAUCUUACCCCUCCAGAGUGAGAUAUGCUCCUUCUGACCUUCUAUAAAGACCUGAAAUGGUUCCAAUUGUUGUAUACAUGUUUGACUUAAGCAGUGAAGUUGUUUGAUAUUUUGCAUAUUCUCCACAGAUCAACAGAAAUCAUAAUUAUAUUCUUUUGAUUUUUAAGAUAGGACUAGGUUACCAGCUGGGGACAUAGCUAAUUCCUUCAACCCCUCAAAUCACCCGAAAUCUCAUUGCAUCUUGUCCAAGAAUGCCAAAAAUCAUACGACCUCUUGUACAAAAGCUUGGGAUUGCUAUUAGACUUAAGGCAAGAUCUUUUGAACAUUACAAAAUUGGACAAAUAUAAACUGUUAUAACGUUUAAUGUAUAGAUGAUGAGGAUUGUGAUGCCAAUUUCUGCUUUCUGUUCUAAAACAGAAAUUGGCUACCGCAGUGGAAGAAACUUGCUCAAUGAAAACGAACAGGGUCAGAACUGUGAGGCAUUUGGGAUAGUACAUUUUCCAUAGUGGAGAAUGCGAAGCUUGAUUUAAUUGUGCAUUAUGUGCUGUCUGUAUUUUUUUUAAAAAAAACAUGUCCUGCGCUGACCUUGCAAGAGCAACAUAUAUCCUUGUGAACACUUGGCUUGAUUAAUCGUCUCAUUGAUCACAAGGCUUUUGAUAGGGCUGUCCUGUUGCUGGCAGCUGUUUUUGGAGUACUUGGCACACUUCCUCAUUGAUUUGUGCUAUCAUGAUCAUAUUAUGCUUGCCCAGCAUUCUUUACAAAGGUGACGUAUAAAGUAGUGGGUCAACAUUAAAUUGGCACUCCUGGAUGUUAAAAAACCUUGAAUUAUGUUGACCCUGGCAACAUUCAAUGCUUGCUCAUUCAGCCCCAAGCUAAUAAAAAUCUAUAUUCACAUCACACCAGCCAUUUAAAAGACCUUGCAAUGAAUCAUACUCUCUGUAUGCUAAACUUAUGUUCUUGUUACACCUUUCUUUAUUCUUAAGUUAGUAACCUGUCUAGGAAAACAUUUUAAUGUAAAAUAUUUAGCACCAAAUAUAUCUUGUUCAGGGUAAAGGUUUAUCCCAGGCUUCUCACCCUGGGUCUCUCCAGUGAUUUUUAUUACAGGCCCUCCUGAUAUUAUAUUACUAUUCCCCUCAUCUGCAGCCACCAUUGUUGUAUCUGAAACAUCCUGGAGUCUCAGGUAAUGGAUGGCUGGUCUUUCUCAUCUAGCAUUCUGAUUCUAACAAAGGUCAGGCAGAGUCCUCUGAAAAUUCACCUGAAAGAUGUAAAGGCUAUACUUCUCUUUUAGUGCCUGCUUUUUAGGAAUAUACUAGCUUUGCACUUGGUGGCUUUUUCUACCUGAAAAAAUGAAUCAUUACAAUGGAUUUUUUAAAAGAGAAAGUGGCUUUAGGUUUGACUAUAAUUAACAUUUUUAAAACUUUCUGCACUGAUAUAGCUUGAGCUACCCUGCACUUAAUUUGGGCUCAUCUGAACCUUGAAUGAAUGAGAGUGAUUAGCAGUUCUAUCUCUAGCAACAGAUAAAACCCAUGAGCAGUUGUGCAAUCAAACUUGGGAAAACAGUUCUAAGAAUUUGCAUUCAUCUUUUUUCCCUGCAUAAUAUAGAUUCCUGUUUAGCCGGCAAUAUUAAAAAUACUUUUGGUCCUGUUCAUAUUAUAUAUAGUUUUAAGAAGCAAUCAGAAUGUACACAAAAUUGUCUCUAAUGUCUGGCAAUCACAGGGACCCAUAAUUGUUUGACACCAAGAACAAAAAUUAAUAGGUGAAAGUUCAGUUGUUUUACCUUACUUUUCUAUCUUGAUUCAGUUUGCAGAAAUAUUUGCAAUCUCUUAAUGCCACACCUAGUUUAUUAACCCAUUUGUGAUUACAGAGAGCCAGAAGGACUACAAAGACAUAAGAUGAAACCGAAUGCUUUAAAAUAAAUAAGCAACCCACAGACCAAGUUACUUGCUAAUAGAGAAUAAUUCUAACCUUUCUAAUUUUCAAGGAAAUAAAGGACGAAAGAAUAUUAGGAGUCUACAGAGGAUGGGGUAAUUAAGGAAAAAUUACUUUUUCAUGGUGUUAUAAUGGAAGCAUCCUAAGAACGGAAUCUGUUUCAAUUACCACUUUCCAAAAAAAGGAAACCAAGUUUCCCAAGUUUGGUUUGAACUUCACAGAAAACUUGCAAAACCUCAUGGCAAUGUUUGUAACUUCUCUGCAACCAAUUAACUUCUCCAGCAACCUUUAUUAAUCAAUCCUAAAAGUUAACUAGAAAGAAAAAAAAACACUUUGGGCAAGUGGCGGGUGCCUGGAAACUAUAAGGGCUGCAUAUGGAGAAACCAGCUGCAAUUCAAGCCUAGAAAGAUGGAGUGGUUGCAGGUUUUUGCAUUGUCUUGGCAAAAUUCAGGAACAGAAAGAUCCUUUCACUGGAAGAAAGAUGAGAUGACUAAUAACCAUAGUCGCCCAGGUGUGAGAUCAGCUGUAAACAGCCUUUCUCUAUGUUAGUCAUCAUCAUCAAACCACAGAAGAAGCUUCUGUUCCUGGCCUCCAGAUGGGGAUUGAAAAAUGGAAAGAAGGCAGAAGACUUGGCUCCAUUCAGAAACAUUGAUUAGAAAACUGCAAAUGUAACAGAAUUUGUAACUUUUCACAUUGUGAAGUAAUAAACAUAUAUCAACCAAAGAUGAUAAAAUCAAACAUUUAUGUGUCCCAUUUAUUUAGUUACAGUGCCUGGAAACCAUAAGGGCUGCAUAUGGAGAAACCAGCUGCAACUGAAGCUUACCAAGA